ACGAACGCUGGCGGCGUGCAUAAAACAUGCAAGUCGAAACGGGCCCAAUGCCGCCAAGGGCCGAGGGCUAGUGGCGAACCGGCUGAGUAACCACGUAGGCCGACCUGCCCCGAAGUGGGGGGACAACUCUCCGAAAGGAGAGCUAAAUACCGCAUGUGAACCGCUCAUUUCAUUUGAAGCGUUUCAAAGCAGCAAUGCGCUUUGGGAGGGGCCUGCCGGCGGAUCAGCUAGUUGGUGGGGUAACGGCUCACCAAGGCCUACGAUCCGUAGCUGGUCUGAGAGGAUGGCCAGCCAGACUGGGACUGAGACAACGGCCCCAGACUCCUACCGGGAGGGCAGCAGUUAGGGAUCUUGUGCAAUGGGGGGAAACCCUGACACAGCAACCGCCGGCGUGGAGGGAUGAAGGGCCUUCGGGGUCGUAAACCUCUUUUUCUGAGGGAAGAAAACCUGACGGUUACCUCAGGAAUAAGCAAACGGGGCUUAACUACGUGCCAGCCAGCCGCGGUAAUACGUAGUGUUGCCGAGCGUUGUCCGGAUUCACUGGGCGUAAAGCGCACGCAAGGCCGGCUUUCGGAAGCCCACGGUGAAAUCUCUCGGCCCAACCGAGAGGAAGGCCCGCGGGAACUUCCGGAGCUCGAAAGGCCGGGAGAGGGCGGAUGGAAUUUUCCCGGUGUAGCGGUAAAAUGCGUAGAUACCGGAAGGAAACACCAGUUGGCGAAAGGCGAUCCGCUGGCCCGCUCCUUGACGCUCAGGUGCGAAAAGCUAGGGGGAGCGAACCGGGGAUUAAGAUACCCCGUUAGUCCUAGCCGUAAAACAAUGGUCACUGGGUGUUGUCGGUAUCGACCCCCGGCAGUUGCCCGUGGCUAACGCAUUAAGUGACCCGCCUGGGGAGUACGGCCGCAAGGCUAAAACUCAAAGGAAUUUGAACGGGGGGCCCGCACAAGCAGCGGAGGCGUGCGGUUCAAUUCGAUGGUACGCGAAAGAAACCUUACCCAGACUUGACAUGGCUGGUGGUACUGACCUGAAAGGGAAGGGACCCCGCCAAGGGAGCCAGCAAAGGUGUUUGCAACGGCUGUCGUCAGCUCGUGUCCGUGAGAUGUGGGUUAAGGUCCCGCAACGAGCGCAACCCCUCGCCGCCUGUUGUAUCCCUCAGGCGGGGACUGCCGAGAGAGAAAACUCGGAGGGAAGGUGGGGAUGACGUCAAGUCCGGCGUGGCCCUUAUGUCUGGGGCUACACGCACGCCUACAAUCGGCCGGUCACAGCGGGUCGCAAAACCGUGCGAACGGGAGCUAAUUCCCUCAAAAAACCGGCGUCAGUUCAGAUCGGAGGCUGCAACCCGCCUCCGUGAAGUCGGAGGUUGCUAGUAACCCGCGGGUCAGCACACCGCGGUGAAUAUGUUUCCCCGGGCCUUGUACACCACCGCCCGUCACGUCAUGGGAGUCGGUAACAACCCGAAGCCGGUGGGCUAACCGCAAGGAAGUAGCCGUCGAAGGUGGGACCGGCGACUGGGACG
rnacentral:rRNA from 1 species